AUUGAACGCUGGCGGCAGGCCUAACACAUGCAAGUCGAGCGGAUGAAGGGAGCUUGCUCCUGGAUUCAGCGGCGGACGGGUGAGUAAUGCCUAGGAAUCUGCCUGGUAGUGGGGGAUAACGUCCGGAAACGGGCGCUAAUACCGCAUACGUCCUGAUGGAGAAAGUGGGGGAUCUUCGGACCUCACGCUAUCAGAUGAGCCUAGGUCGGAUUAGCUAGUUGGUGGGGUAAAUGCCUACCAAGGCGACGAUCCGUAACUGGUCUGAGAGGAUGAUCAGUCACACUGGAACUGAGACACGGUCCAGACUCCUAGGGGAGGCAGCAGUGGGGAAUAUUGGACAAUGGGCGAAAGCCUGAUCCAGCCAUGCCGCGUGUGUGAAGAAGGUCUGCGGAUUGUAAAGCACUUUAAGUUGGGAGGAAGGGCAGUAAGUUAAUACCUUGCUGUUUUGACGUUACCAACAGAAUAAGCACCGGCUAACUUCGU
rnacentral:rRNA from 1 species